CAGUAGCCGCGGUAAUACAGAGGGUGCGAGCGUUAAUCGGAUUUACUGGGCGUAAAGCGUGCUUAGGCGGCUUCUUAAGUCGGAUGUGAAAUCCCUUAGCUUAACUUAGGAAUUGCAUUCGAUACUGGGAAGCUAGAGUAUGGGAGAGGAUGGUAGAAUUCCAGGUGUAGCGGUGAAAUGCGUAGAGAUCUGGAGGAAUACCGAUGGCGAAGGCAGCCAUCUGGCCUAAUACUGACGCUGAGGUACGAAAGCAUGGGGAGCAAACAGGAUUAGAGACCCCCGUAGUCCCUGUCUCUUAUAC
rnacentral:rRNA from 1 species